GACUAAACAUAUUCCAGCCUAAAAGUUAAAAUCCUAGAAAUACAGGAUGGGAGUCUACCUGAAGGCCAAACAAGAUCCCAAUUGGAAUGAGAAUGCUCCUC